rnacentral:rRNA from 1 species
GUCCACGCCCUAAACGAUGUCGACUAGUUGUCGGGCCUUUACAGGCUCGGUAACGCAGCUAACGCGUGAAGUCGACCGCCUGGGGAGUACGGUAGCAAGAUUAAAACUCAAAGGAAUUGACGGGGACCCGCACAAGCGGUGGAUGAUGUGGAUUAAUUCGAUGCAACGCGAAAACCUUACCUAACCCUUGACAUGCCCGGAAGCUCGCAGAGAUGUGAGCGUGCCCGAAAGGGAGCCGGGACACAGGUGCUGCAUGGCUGUCGU